CAGCCGCCGCGGGAAUACGUAGGUGGCAAGCGUUGUCCGGAAUUAUUGGGCGUAAAGGGCUCGCAGGCGGUUUCUUAAGUCUGAUGUGAAAGCCCCCGGCUCAACCGGGGAGGGUCAUUGGAAACUGGGAAACUUGAGUGCAGAAGAGGAGAGUGGAAUUCCACGUGUAGCGGUGAAAUGCGUAGAGAUGUGGAGGAACACCGGUGGCGAAAGCGGCUCUCUGGUCUGUCACUGACGCUGAGGCUCGAAAGCGUGGGUAGCGAACAGGAUUAGAUACCCCGGUAGUCCCUGUCUCUUAUAC
rnacentral:rRNA from 1 species